rnacentral:misc_RNA from 1 species
UUAUCAGCACUCUUGGUCUAGGAAUAUUUGUGGGCUCCUUGUCUGAAUUGCAAAAUUAAUCUGAUUAAACUCACUGCUGUCAGCAGGCAAAAUAAUGUCUUAUGUUCGUAGAUCUUAUUGUGCUCUCAUGAAUCACAGUAUCAUCCAAAAUUGCUGGUAGCUGCUGGAAAGAGCAAUAGAAUUCUGUCUCUGUUUCCUGCAGUAGGUUAUAAGCUAUCUUGAUCUUG